GCACUUCUGAGGAGCCCCGCAAUAGGACGAAACGGCCGUCCAGUGC
rfam:Schistosoma mattheei strain Denwood, Zambia genome assembly, scaffold: SMTD_scaffold0000479